rnacentral:misc_RNA from 1 species
UGAUCUUUAUGUAUGCCCUCAUAGUGACAGCAUAAUCACAGUACUUGCAAAACAUGGGUUCUUCAAGGGCAUGACUGCUGUUGAAGAUAACCGAGACUCCUUGAUUGGCUGUGUUGUGUGGAGAAGAAAUCGAACAUCUGCUAAUUCUGUUGUAAAGAAAUCGGAGAGAAAGAAACAUUCCCUGGCUGAACAGCCUCUCAAUUCCGCUGCUGACUCUUCUAGCCAAAGGGUAGAUGAAAAAGACUUUCCCCUGAUAAAACCGGC